CUUUUCUCGUUAGUUUUUGAAGUAUGGCCUGCCCACUGACUGUUGUUGAAGGGCCGCGGUAUUUUGACCGUGCAAAGGUAGCAUAAUCAUUAGUUCUUUAAUUGUGAUCUGGUAUGAAUGGCUUGACGAGACAUAAGCUGUCUUGGAAGUAUUAUUUAUUGAAUUUGGUUUUUGAGUUAAAAUUCUUAAAUGUUUUUAUGGGACGAGAAGACCCUAUAGAGUUUUACAAUUUUCCCAUUUAUUUGUUGUUUGUUUGUUUUUGUUGAGUGGGAAGGAUUGUUUUGUUGGGGUGAUGGGAUGAAUAAUAUUUAACUCCUCUUUGAUUUUGUAUAUUUAUUUAUAUGUAUUUGAUCCAUUUAUUUUGAUUAUAAGAUUAAAUUACC
rnacentral:rRNA from 1 species